UUUAAUGAAAUAUUAUGCUCUAAAGAAAAAGAAGGUGAAGUUCCUAGGGCCCAAAGAGACAUGAGAGCAUUCUAGGACUGUUUAUCUAGCCGCAGUCUCGAAGAUCUAGGUUACACUGGUGCCUAUUUCACUUGGAGCAGAGGGAAGAUGCGGGGGAGAUUAGAUCGAGCUCUGGCAAAUGCAACAUGGAAUAUCAGAUAUCCAAAUGUGGCGGUUACUAAUGGAGAAAAUAAUAGAAGUGAUCAUCGAUCGGCAACUGUUGAUAUGUAA
rnacentral:rRNA from 1 species